rnacentral:rRNA from 1 species
CGUGAGGGAAAGGUGAAAAGCACCCCGGGAGGGGAGUGAAAAAGAACCUGAAACCAUAUGCUUACAAACAGUCAGAGCACUAUUUAUUAGCUGCGGUUAAUAAAGUGUGAUGGCGUACCUUUUGUAGAAUGGGCCAGCGAGUUACGGCAGCAAGCAAGGUUAAGUCCAAAAAGGACGGAGCCGGAGCGAAAGCGAGUCUUAAGAGGGCGAAAAGUUUGUUGCUGUAGACCCGAAACUGGGUGAUCUAUCCAUGGCCAGGGUGAAGUCUCGGUAACACGAGAUGGAGGCCCGAACCAGAGUGCGUUGAAAAGUACGUGGAUGAGCUGUGGAUAGGGGUGAAAUGCCAAUCGAACCCAGAGAUAGCUGGUUCUCCCCGAAAUAGCUUUAGGGCUAGCGUUAUAUGUUUCCUUAUGGGGGUAGAGCACUGGUUAGGCUAGGGGCCUUACCGGGUUACCGAACCUUCCCAAACUCCGAAUACCAUAAGGUAAGAAUAUAGCAGUCAGACUGCGGGUAAUAAGGUCCGUGGUCGAGAGGGAAACAGCCCAGACCGCCAGCCAAGGUCCCAAAAUUCAUGCUAAGUGGGAAAGGAAGUAGGGCUGCAGAGACAGCCAGGAUGUUGGCUCAGAAGCAGCCACCAUUCAAAGAGUGCGUAAUAGCUCACUGGUCAAGUGGCCCUGCGCCGAAAAUUCAACGGGGCUAAGCAUGAUACCGAAGCUGCGGAUUUGUAUUUCAGAUACAAGUGGUAGGGGAGCAUUCCUAACGGGUAGAAGUCGUACCGGAAGGAGCGGUGGACUGUUAGGAAGAGAGAAUGCUGGCAUAAGUAAGCGAGAAGGCAGGUGAGAAUCCUGCCCGCCGUAAACCUGAGGUUUCCUGGGGAAGGCUCGUCCGCCCAGGGUAAGCCGGGACCUAAGCCGAGGCCUAAAGGCGUAGGCGAUGGACAACUGGUUGAGAAUCCAGUGCCACCUAAAACCGCUAUGAGCAAUGGGGUGACGCAGGAGGAUAGGUGAAGCGCACGACUGGAAGAGUGCGUCCAAGCAUGUAGGAGGCAGAAUAGGCAAAUCCGUUCUGUGAAACUCCGAGGUGUGAUGGGGAGGGAAACGAAGUACCGAAGUCACUGACUCCAAACUGCCAAGAAAAGCCUCUAGCCAGGUCAGGGUGCCCGUACCGAAAACCGACACAGGUAGGUGAGGAGAGAAUCCUAAGGCGCGCGAGAGAACCCUCGUUAAGGAACUCGGCAAAAUGACCCCGUAACUUCGGGAGAAGGGGUGCUUUGUUAGAGUGAGUAUAUAAACAUGUACGAGCUUGAGAGAGCCGCAGCGAAAUGGCCCAGGCGACUGUUUACCAAAAACACAGGUCUCUGCUAAAUCGAAAGAUGAUGUAUAGAGGCUGACGCCUGCCCGGUGCUGGAAGGUUAAGGGGAAUGCUAAGCGGCAACGCGAAGGUGUGAACCGAAGCCCCAGUGAACGGCGGCCGUAACUAUAACGGUCCUAAGGUAGCGAAAUUCCUUGUCUGGUAAGUUCAGACCCGCACGAAAGGCGUAACGAUCUGGGCGCUGUCUCGACGAGGGGCUCGGUGAAAUUGUAAUACCGGUGAAGAUGCCGGUUACCUGCGAUAGGACAGAAAGACCCCAUGGAGCUUUACUGUAGCUUGAUAUUGGAUUUUGGUAGUUGAUGUACAGGAUAGGUGGGAGACUAAGAAAGCAGGUCGCAAGGCUUGCUGGAGUCAAUGGUGGGAUACCACUCUUGAAUUGCUGAAAUUCUAACCUUGUCCCGUAAACCGGGUCAGGGACAGUGUCAGGCGGGCAGUUUGACUGGGGCGGUCGCCUCCCAAAGAGUAACGGAGGCGCCCAAAGGUUCCCUCAGCGCGGAUGGAAAUCGCGCGAAGAGUGUAAAGGCAUAAGGGAGCUUGACUGCGAGAGAGACAUCUCGAGCAGGGACGAAAGUCGGGCUUAGUGAUCCGGCGGUGCCGAGUGGAAGGGCCGUCGCUCAUCGGAUAAAAGCUACCCUGGGGAUAACAGGCUUAUCUCCCCCAAGAGUUCACAUCGACGGGGAGGUUUGGCACCUCGAUGUCGGCUCAUCACAUCCUGGGGCUGGAGAAGGUCCCAAGGGUUGGGCUGUUCGCCCAUUAAAGUGGUACGUGAGCUGGGUUCAGAACGUCGUGAGACAGUUCGGUCCCUAUCCAUCGCAGGCGCAGGAGAAUUGAGAGGAUCUGUCCCUAGUACGAGAGGACCGGGAUGGACAGACCGCUGGUGUACCAGUUGUCUCGCCAGAGGCACAGCUGGGUAGCUAUGUCUGGAUCGGAUAAGCGCUGAAAGCAUCUAAGCGCGAAGCCAGCCUCAAGAUGAGUUCUCCCACUCCAUCAAGGAGGUAAGGUCCCACAAAGACGAUGUGGUUGAUAGGCCGGAUGUGUAAGUGCAGUGAUGCAUUAAGCUGACCGGUACUAAUAGGCCGAGGGCUUGACCUA